rnacentral:rRNA from 1 species
UACGUAGGGUGCAAGCGUUGUCCGGAAUUAUUGGGCGUAAAGAGCUCGUAGGCGGUCUGUUGCGUCGGCUGUGAAAACCCGGGGCUCAACUCCGGGCCUGCAGCCGAUACGGGCAGACUAGAGUGCUGUAGGGGAGACUGGAAUUCCUGGUGUAGCGGUGGAAUGCGCAGAUAUCAGGAGGAACACCGAUGGCGAAGGCAGAUCUCUGGGCCGUAACUGACGCUGAGGAGCGAAAGCAUGGGGAGCGAACAGG